rnacentral:tRNA from 1 species
GGAAAGGUGGCUGAGUGGCCGAAAGCGCAUCCCUGCUAAGGAUGAGUACCCUAACGGGUACCGUGGGUUCAAAUCCCACCCUUUCCG